CCCUUAGAUGUUCUGGGAUGCACGCGCGUUACACUGAUUCGUUCAACGAGUUUAUGACCUUGCCUGAUGAGGUGGGGGAAUCUUUUCAAAUCGCAUCGUGAUGGGGAUAGAGUUUUGUAACUGUUAGUCUUCAACGAGGAAUUCCUAGUAAGUACGUGUCAUCAGCUCGUACUGAUUAUGUCCCUGCCCUUUGUACACGCCGCCCGUCGCUCCUACCGAUUAGUGCUCAGGUGAAUAGUAUGGACUGCAUCAGUGUUCGGUCUCCGAAUGUUGACGCGAGAAAUUCUGUGAAUCUUAUUGCUUAGAGGAAGGAGAAGUCGUAACA
rnacentral:rRNA from 1 species